CUCUCGAUAUGCAAGGAAAAUUAUAGUGUUUGGUUUGAAUAUGCAACAAACAUAAAACCCUUUUCUCCUCCUUCACAUAUACCCUUUUCUAUUUCCCGCCCUCUCUGUAUCUCCAUCUCUCUCUCUCUCUCUCGACCUUCUCACCACCCAACAACACUCAACCAAUGACGCUAGCAUCAUCAGGUGAAACUCUCUCUCACUCUCGGAUUGCCCCUCACUGGUUUGGUUGUCUUUGCUCUCCACCAGACGACACAAACCAAUCACAUCGACCUCAAGGCAUGGGUUAAUAUUCCAGUUACUCCAAUUGCCUCUCAUCCAUACAUACUAAGAUAUACCUUAUCACUCAUUCCCUACUGUUAAGUUAAAAUCUCCAUAUCGAAACCAAAGCUUCUCGAGGUGGACCUCUUUGUUUAUCAUUCUCAAGUAAUGGAUGUUGAAUACAUAAGAGGCUGCAUCUUUUGGAUCGAGACACAUUGAAUCAAAUUUUUACUUAUUGAUUGUAUUGUUAAGCAAUUUGAAAAUUGUAAUAUAUAUUGAACACAUAGCUUCAUGUAAAUUUUACUUGAGAUGUAAUUAUCUUUUAUAAUAUCUUUUAA